GUAGUGUCAAGAUCACAUGUGGUUGAGCUGUAUAUACGUUGGAUGUUUCUUAUAGUGUGGUUGAACUGUAUGUGUCGGUUGAGUGAGUGUACGUGCAGUUGGGCUGUGUGCGAAGUGAGAUUGCACGUGAAAAGCAGGCAGUUUCUGCGACUUAGUCAUAAAAGUGGACGGUUUGAUGUGACGGGUGCAGUCGUGAUAUGAUAGAGCGGAGCGACGGUGUGAAAGCUGAGCCAGGAAAAUUAUCAUGGCUGUCGGGGCCGUAUUGGCUUGACGGCCUGUGUGCUGGCUAGUUGAGUGUGGCGGGUCAACACC
rnacentral:lncRNA from 1 species